rnacentral:tRNA from 1 species
UCCCCGAUAGCUCAGUUGGUAGAGCGCUCGACUGUUAAUCGAGUGGUCGUAGGUUCGAGUCCUACUCGGGGAG